rnacentral:rRNA from 1 species
ACCCACUAUCUUUAGUCGGAUAGUAUCCUUACGUGAAUACAUAGCGUGAGGAAGGCAGACCCAGGGAACUGAAACAUCUAAGUACCUGGAGGAAGAGAAAGAAAAAUCGAUUUCCUGAGUAGCGGCGAGCGAAACGGAAAGAGCCCAAACCAAGAAGCUUGCUUCUUGGGGUUGUAGGACACUCUAUACGGAGUUACAAAAGAAAGUUAUAAAUGAAGCGGUCUGGAAAGGCCCGCCAAAGACGGUAACAGCCCGGUAGUUGAAAUGGCUUUCCCUCCAGAGUGGAUCCUGAGUACGGCGGAACACGUGAAAUUCCGUCGGAAUCCGGGAGGACCAUCUCCCAAGGCUAAAUACUCCCUAGUGACCGAUAGUGAACCAGUACCGUGAGGGAAAGGUGAAAAGCACCCCGGAAGGGGAGUGAAACAGUUCCUGAAACCGUGUGCCUACAAGUAGUUAGAGCCCGUUAAUGGGUGAUAGCGUGCCUUUUGUAGAAUGAACCGGCGAGUUACGAUUUGUUGCAAGGUUAAGCGGAAAAAGCGGAGCCGUAGCGAAAGCGAGUCUGAAUAGGGCGCAUAAGUAACAGGUCGUAGACCCGAAACCAGGUGAUCUACCCAUGUCCAGGAUGAAGGUAAGGUAAUACUUACUGGAGGUCCGAACCCACGCACGUUGA